GGAGGGGUGGCAGAGUGGUCUAAUGCACCGGUCUUGAAAACCGGCGUGGGUUCACGCCCACCGUGGGUUCGAAUCCCACCUCCUCCGCCA
rnacentral:tRNA from 1 species